UACAGAGGGUGCGAGCGUUAAUCGGAAUUACUGGGCGUAAAGCGUGCGUAGACGGCUAUCUAAGUCGGGUGUGAAAGCCCCGGGCUCAACCUGGGAAUUGCAUUCGAGACUGAAUAGCUAGGGUACGGUAGAGGGAAGUGGAAUUUCCGGUGUAGCGGUGAAAUGCGUUGAUAUCCAGCGGAACUCCGGUGGCGAAGGCGGCCUGCUGGACCCUCACUGACGCUGAGGCGCGAAAGCCAGGGGAGCAAACGGG
rnacentral:rRNA from 1 species